CUUUGCAGUUGCGUGCUCCUACAUGGAUUCCGUGCGGUUUGCCAUAGCGUCGGCGCUCUUUCUGGCGGCGGCCGUGGUGACGGCCGCCGACGACGCACACCUGCUGGACGACCGACUUCAAGGUGGCCCUGCCCAACCAGGCGUCGCUCGACGGCUGGACCGCGCGCGAUGGCGCCUGCAGGUUCCCCGACGCGGUGUGCAGGGGCGAGCGCCUCACGUCGCUCUCGCUCUCCGCCGUCCUGCUCAAUACCGACAUCCGCGCUGUCGCGGCCACCAUGCUGCAGCUCAGCGCUUCGAGAGGCAGCGGCCAACGUCAAAGAUGCGCUCGCGGCGGCGGCCGGCGGCUGGUGCGGCAGCAAGCUCGAGGUGCUCAACUCCCCGGAAAUCCCGUGCUACGCGGUUCCGUCGCCAACGUGGCCGCGCUCUCCGGCUACUGCAGUCAGUUGAAUCUGUUCGAUGAUGCGGUUGGUGCAGACAAGGACGCUGGCGGUGGCGGGCAGGGGUUUGCGGCCCUGGACGGCUGGAUGAUGGGUGCCGGCCUCGGGUCUGUCCGGUGGCUGGGCCUCGCCUGAAAUAAGUUCCUCCGGCGGCCUCUCGGACUUCACCAACUGCUCCGGGCUGUAGUACCUUGACCUGUCCGGCAACCUCAUCGGCUGCGAUGUGGCCGCCAGGGCGCUCUCCGGCUGCCGCAGUCUCAGAGCGCUCAACCUCUCCAGCAACCAUCUCGCCGGCGCGUUUCUGCCGAACAUCGCUGGUCCUGUGUGUAGUCCUCGCCGCUCCGUCCGCGGAGACCGGAGGCCAUGGUGGCGGGCCGCCUCGGCAUGGUGUCGCAGCACGAGCGGGGGAGAGCGCGGCCACGCUGUUGGUUCCUUAGGUCGACCUGGCGGUUGCAGCAUGUUUCUCGCGCCCGCCCAGACUGCAGGUGAUCCACCUACAGCCUGCGUCGCCACCAUGGGGAACUAUCGCCUCAGUGGUGUCCAAGAUCGGCAAGUACGUCAAUCCUGGGGACACGAUCGACUAGAUGAAGAAGCUGUUGGAGAGGAUCUGGCGACUGCAGGAGCCGAGCCGGAUAUGCCGCUGGGUAGUCGCCGGUGAUGGGGCGGUCAGCGGAGGACGCGUGCUUUAUACAUGCCCAAUUGUUUCUUCUGGUCUAGCUCCUCACCGUCGCCCGGCUGGCCGUCAUACUUAGUUUUGUGCCGUAUGGCGUGGUUGCUCUCUGGUUGGUUCAUCAUGUGCUGAUUCCUCUUCUUGUAUGAACGAUUUCCUCAAUUUCAAUUCUGGUUGGUAUGCUUUUGGUUCUUUGUGCAGAUCUUUGUUUUUAUUUGUCCGUUUUUGCUCUCUUUGCUUGAUUAGGAUCGUAUUGAUGUUCGUCGGUGGCCUCUGUAAAAUUCUGAUAUGACGCUGUUGAUUUUGUGCUGGUAUAAGCAUGUUUUGUCUUCUGGAUUUUUUUUUCCAUCCAAUUUCUGAUUUGUGCUUUUUGCAGGCAGGCUGGUUUUUCAAUUUGGUCCGCUGUGCCGAACACUGGCGGUCUGGUGGUUAUUCUAUAAGCUGAAUAUACGCCCCAACCUGAACUAUCUCCAUUGCACAGAAAAAUUCAUCAUAAUCACUACAUCAACUGCUAAUUCUCUUCAUGGGAUCACCACUUCUAUCAAGUGGAAUCAACCGAGCCGUUGCUUUAGAUGGAGGCAGCAGCUAUUACUACCAAACCUUGAAAAGCAAUUGGAAACAACCCCCCAACCUUCUCCGACAGUAGUAGAGGUAAUUUAUAGCCUUUGUAAUCCUCAGAUUAAGCAAGCAGAGUAUCAGAUUACUAGAGGGUGAAAAUGAUACAGCGGGAAUCAAGAAGAGAGAAGUCAAAUGUUAGCGGGAAAAAUCAAAAAGAGUUAUUAAGUAGCCAGGGAGCUGUGUACGCAUGAAGGUUCAAAACGGACUAAGCUAUGUGCUAACAGCAAGAAAGGACCAGCUUAGUUCUACACUGUAGCUUGAGUGCUUUGUAUGCACAAGUAAAGCUGUGUACUGUAAUAAGAAAAACUUAUCACUCUACUUGGAUUUAUCCAGUUCUCUUGACCUAUUGUAUAAUAUAACCAAGUUUUCAUAGAUGCAACUGGGACAUAGUUGAAAUUGUGUACUGUAAUAGUAUGAUAGACUUGGUGCUCUACUUAAAUGUACGCAGUGCUCUCCGUCUGUAAUGUAAUGUAUAACUAAUCGUACACACAUGAUGACAUGUCCAGCGAUCUAGCUUUUUCACUUACUAAAAAGCUGAUAAAAGUAAAGUAUUCUUUUUCU